AGUUAUUUUAACUCUCGGUCUGCUCGAGGGAUUCACUUUUUUCUUUUCUGUUCACUAUUCUUGGCUUUUAAAGUGGCUCUUGAUUUCUCUACUCUCUCUCUCUCGCGCAGCUUCUUCCUUGAAAGUGAUUUCUUUCCUUUGCAUGUUACUAUUUUUUUUUUCAUUUUCUGGGUUGGUGUGGGAUUAUCUUCUGUCUACUUUGUAGGGUUUGGAUAUGGCAACUGAUGCCUCAGAUGUUUCUAGUUGCUUGACUUCUUUGAGUUUUCUUUUUCUUAAGUUUGAGUUUGUUUGUCUUUUCUUGCAUUUUCUUCUUCUUCUUCUUGUUUUUUGAGCUUUGGGUUUCUUUAAAAGCAGAACUCUUCAUCAUGCACCAUUUAGUUAAAAAAAAGUUUGAAAAAACAGAAGAGAAAUUCAAAUUAUACUCCUUUUGUUAUGUUUUCUAACUAUUGAGGUUCAGUUUAGAUGUGCCAGGAACCUUUAUGUGGAAGAUUUCUCCUUUUCUUUACAUCAGAUUCAAUCUGUAACAUUUAAGGUUGAAGGUUUGUGUUUUGACUAUUUUCUUAGACUCUUUGUGCAACAAAUCUAUGAUUUGAAGCCUGAGUUUGACUUGCAAAGCAGUUUGAGCAAGUAAGAUAACAUAAAAUUUAGUGGAACUUUUUAUUCUUGGGUAUUAGAUUUGAUGGACCUUCCUUUGCUUUCGAGAUGGACAAGAUCCUUGCUCACUCACUUAUAUAUAAUUACUCUCCAAUUUUCAACAUCUUUUCUACAUUUUAUUGGCUGUUAAAUUCCUCUUGAAGCUUUUCUACUUCUAGAGUAUAAUAUAUAUUUUUUUGGUUGAGAGAUCUAAAGUAGAAGUUUUUAAGUCUAGUAUUGGAGGUUAAAUAUAUAAGAUGUCUUGGGGUUCUAGAAAAUUUUCUUAUCAUGAAGCUCAAGUUAAGGUUUCUGAUAGUAUUUUGCAUGUGAUACUGUGUGCGCUCAAUUUUAUGUUGUAUGUUUUGUUUUCUAGAAGAUCAUUAUUGAUCUGUAAUUUCUAAUUGUAGAGUAGGUCUUAAUUCUCCUUAGUUCAAGGAUAUAUUAGGCUUCGGUCUCUAAGGGUGAUACUGCUGUUGUCUUGUGGCUUUAUCUUUGUAUUCCCUUUUCUUUACUUUUAUUUUCCCCCAAAUUUAUUUGCGUCUUACAUGAUUUAUGUGUAUUCCCAUGUCAGAUUUCAUGACAAUUGCUGUGGUUGUUAAAACAGAUUGCUUUAUGAGCUGAGCUAUGAUAAUUGACGUUGUUUGACGACGAGAGAGAGCACGCUUGUCGGCACCCAUGAAAGGGCCAUGGAUGUUUACGGGCGUGCUCUCUCUUGUUGUCAUACAGUCUAUCAGCUCGCCCGGAUCUUUGGAAUUUGAUCAACCUGCAGAUAGGGAUGAGAAUGGAUGACGGUGGAGUAAGGUGACACAAGAUUUCAUCAAGAUCAUCAAUGUUGUUGCUUUAUAGCAAAUAAUCUUUCAUUCUUAAGUUGUAGUUAUUGGUUUUCUAUCAUCUUUUACUUUACCAUUUGACAUGUGUCUUUCUAUAUUUGCCAAAUACUGGAAUUGUGUUCUUUUGCAUUAUACUGCUUAAAUGAAUUCAGUUAAGAUAGUGAAAUAGCGAUAAUAAUCUAUAUCCAAGAGAUCCAAAAUUGCUGAAAUGAUUAGAAUUUUUUUUUUUCGUCUCUUUUUUAAAAAAAAAAAACAUGUUGAAAUGAUUAGAAACAGAAAACAUUAGUUAUGUCUUUCAAGACAAUUUCAUUUUCAAGAUUUUUGGAUUUGUUGAACUUGGAUUAUAUUGGUAUUUCAGUAUGGGCUACAAAAGCAAAAAUUAAUAUUCUGGAAGAUCGAUUAUAAUGACACUAUAUAUGUGAGGAAAUGCAUUUUCUUUUCAAAUAUUUGUAUUGUUAGAGAAGUUGCGUGUUUGUUUGAGUUAGAGUGUAGAAUUAAAGAGAGACAAAUAAAUGGAAGUUCUAAACAUGAAAAGCAAGGUUACUAACGUUCUCACCAUGAUCAUGGUGAACUUGAUGGACAGGAAUUGGGUUUUGGUAGCGUUGGUAUGUGCGGGGUUGAUGGCGGUAAGUGAAUUGAUAGUAGUUUUCUUUGUACAUUGAGAUUGUACCUUAUCACUCUCUUUCCACAAGGGAUUGGAUUAAAUCCUUUACUUCGUUCAAGCAGGCAGAUUGAACUACUAACUGGAAAAUGAUUCUGAGAUCCAACUGUUGUUGGAUUUUAUAUAUUAAUUAUUUGUUCUUACUAGUAAUAUCUGCUGUUUCUUUGAUGCAGUGGUCAUAAUGAAUUGUAGUUUAUGAUUUAAAAUGUGUUUGACUAUUGGAAAAUCUAAUAGCGGUACAAUUCAUUAGUUUUGAAUAAAUUAUGUUUGUCAAUCAAGUUUGUUCAGUGGUCAUAAUGUAAUUGUUAGUGGGAAAAUACAAGGCUGUGAUUCAAAAGAUUUAGUAAGCAUUUAGUGGUUGUAAUGAAUUUUCUUUUUACUAUUUGGGAUUCAAAAAUUGAUUUGGAUGAAGUAUUAUUUGACUGUGUUUUUUACUUGCUGCUUAAUGUUGCAAACAAUGAAUAUGGGCUGGACUAGGGUUUAUGAGUAUUAAUUCCUUUUCCUUUUGUUCCUGCUUCUACAAGAAAUAUUUGCCCGUUUCCCACCCCAUCUAGAAGCACAAUUAUAAAUCUGGUUAAAUUGGUGCUCAUUAACUACAAAUGAAUAAUUGUUAAUGAGCUUAAACAAGUCCAUAACUGGUAAUAGAAGCAAAAACUAAAUACCUACUGUUCAUCCCAAAAAUACAAUCACCAAAAAGAACACCCACAAUCAAGUGAAGUGAGACAAAGAGGGAAAGGAAUAGAAAGGGAAAGAAAUGAAGUUGAGAUUUGAAAAAUAAGGGUCUAUUUUUAAUACAUAAUAUAUAAAAGAAAUUAUUAUAAUAUACUAACUAAAACACUGAACAGCGCUUUCAUCUUAAGAAAAAAAUUAUAGAAGACAUAAGAAUGAAGAGCAUUAUAGCUAAUGCGAUAGGUGUGCUGCUAAUGAUUUGUGCAACAAUCUAUGAUUUGAAGUCUGAGUUUGACUUACAAAGCAGUUUGAGCAAGUAAGUAACAUAAAAUUUGGUGGAACUUUUUAUUCUUUGAUGCUAGAUUUGAUGGAGCUUACUUUGCUUUUGAGAUGGACAAGAUCCUUGCUCACUUGCUUAUAUCUCCGAUUUUUCAACAUCUUUUCUACAUUUUAUUGGCAGUUAAAUUCCUCUUGAAUUUUUAUUUUUUUUUGGUUGAGAGAUCUAAAGUAGAAGUUUGUAAGUCUAGCAUUGGAGGUUAAAUAUAAAAGUUGUCUUGGGGUUCUAGAAAAUUUUCUUAUCAUGAAGCUCAAGUUAAGGUUUCUGAUAGUAUUUUGCAUGUGAUACAGUGUGCGCUCAAUUUUAUGUUGUAUGUUUUGGUUUCUAGAAGAUCAUUAUUGAUCUGUAAUUUCUAAUUGUAGAGUAGGUCUUAAUUCUCCUUAGUUCAAGGAUAUACUAGGUUUCGAUUUCUGUGGGUGAUGCUGCUGUUGUUUUGUGGCUUUAUAUUUGUUGUGUUGAAAUCUAGGUCAGUUGGGGAUGAUUGGAGAUUUCAGAUUUGGUUGAUGCUAUAUAUAUAUACACAUGUAUGUGUUUGUGUUCCCUUUUCUUUUCUUUAUUUCCCCCCAAAUUUAUUUGCAUCCUGACAUGAUUUAUGUGUAGAAAUUCCCAUUUCAGAUUUCAUGACAAUUGCUGCGGUUGUUAAAACAGGUUGCUUUAUUUUUUCAGUUACUGUUACUGAUGUAUGAGCUGAGCAAUGAUUGACGUUGUUUGACAACGAGAGAGAGCACGCUUGUCGGCACCCAUGAAAGGGCCAUGGAUGUUUAUGGGCAUGCUCUCUCUUGUUGUCAAACUGUCUAUCUGCUGGUUCGGAUCUUUGGAAUUUGAUCAACCUGCAGAUAGGGAAGACAAUGUACUGGCGGUAGAGUAAGGUGACUUCCAUGGUACCCCUUCUCCGUCUCCAUUUCAGCUGGAAUUAUAGAACAUGUCCCAUGUUUCUUGAUUAUAUGAUCAGAAAGUAUAUAUCAUUAUCAUGCUUCUGCACUACACAUUUAGAAGCAAAAGAAAUAAAACCAACAUCCUAAUUAAAUACAAUGACCAUAGGCAAGACCCCCAAUCAAGUGAAGUGAAUACAAGAAGAGGCAGAAGUCGAAUAAAGGAAAAGAGAGUUAAUUUUUGAAAAAGAAGGGUGUUAUCUUAUGUAGUGUGCAAAUCGAAUGGGACAAAUCUGAAUGCUUGUUUCCUUUGCAUUCCUUGUUAUCUUCUCACAUUUAUUUAUUUUUAAAAUUUAAAUUUUGCCAUGUAGCUUUAUUUAACUUCUUUUUCUUAAGAUUAAUAAAAUAGAAAAUAUAUAUUAAACAAAGGGUCAGACAUGUCCAUUGUGCCACGGCAUUGCAGUGGGUGCAGAGAGCCAUGGUGAUUUGGCCAUUAUAGCAUGAUCAUCAAUGUGGUUGGGGGAGUUGAGUAGGGUGCAGGGAGAACACAAGAUUCCAACAAGAUCAUCAAUGUUGCUGCAUUAUAGCAAAUAAUCUUUCAUUCUUAGGAAUUGGGUUUUGGUAGCAUUGGUAUGUGCGGGGUUGAUGGUGAUAGGGAUGACAAUGGACUGGCGGUGGAGUAAGGCAUAUGUAGUGGACCCUACAAGAUGAAGUGGUAAGCCCUCUUCGAUGAUUUGAACCCACAAGUGCCUCUUACCAAAAAAACUACAGUGCUUGAAUGGUCUCUAGGAGUUGGAUGGGCUGAAGACCGAAGAACGUUCCCUUGAUAUGCUUCAACCAGCUGCUAAAGGCAUACAUAUUCAGGCUCCAAAACUGCGGUAUUCGACCUUUGGCUUAUUACUCAAUGAGUUUACUCUCUAAGCCUGGACAGUGACGAAACCAGGUGGUUUGAGAAUUGGGGUGUCAAAACGUCCUUUUAAGUUUACAAUUUUUUGUGGGUUCUAAUGAUCAGUCAAUGGAUGUCAUUUUUGUGUUCAUGAAAGAAAGUGGCUAUAUGUAGAUUGAAAACUUGAGUAGUUCUUGUUAUGAGAUGCUCUCUUCUAUGCCAUCGUGGUUUUUCUA